GUUAUAAUAGUUUAUAUUUAGAAUAUUGUUUUGAUGGGACAUUGGUUUUUAUAAUU
rnacentral:tRNA from 1 species